rnacentral:rRNA from 1 species
AUUGAACGCUGGCGGCAGGCCUAACACAUGCAAGUCGGGCGACCGGCGGACGGGCGGUUAAGUUAUGGGGACCUGCCUGAUGGAGGGGUCUAACACCUGGAAACGGUAGCUAAUACCGCUUACCUUCGUUUGAACCUAUAUGGUAUUAGCUAGUAGUUGUGGUAACGCCUCACCCAGGCGACGAUCCCUAGCUGGUCUGAGAGGAUGAUCAGCCACACGGGGACUGAGACACGGCCCAGACGCCUACGGGAGGCAGCAGUGGGGAAGAUUGCACAAUGGGCGAAAGCCUGAUGCAGCCAUGCCGCGUGUGUGAAGAAGGCCUUCGGGUUGUAAAGUACUGUCAGUAGGGAGGCGUUACCGACAGAAGAAGCACCGGCUAACUCCGUGCCAGCAGCCGCGGUAAUUC